UACGUAGGUGGCAAGCGUUACUCGGAAUCACUAGGCGUAAAGCGCAGGUAGGCGGUUUGAUAAGUCUGUUGUGAAAGCUCCCGGCUUAACUGGGAGAGGUCAACGGAAACUGUCAGGCUAGAGUGUGGUAGAGGUAGCUGGAAUUCCCGGUGUAGCGGUGAGAUGCGUAGAUAUCGGGAGGAAUACCUAUGGCGAAAGCAGGCUACUGGACCAUCACUGACGCUGAUCUGCGAAAGCUAGGGGAGCAAACGGG
rnacentral:rRNA from 1 species